AUGGCCCGCCUAAUGUUAGCCAUUCUCCUCAUCUCUCUAGCUUUGAACCCCUUGUCAUCUGCAACGGCAGUUGCUAGCACCCACACCAACAGAGAAGCUCUGCUCUGCCUCAACCGAGCUUUUGAUACAUGGAAAAGCACCACCUCACCGGAUUUCUGCACUUGGCACGGCGUCACAUGCACAACAAGGACAGGGCAAGCACCCCUCGUGGUGGCCUUGGAUAUGGAGGCGGAAGGCCUCUCCGGUGAGAUACCAACCUGCAUCUCCAACCUCACUUCUUUGGUAAGAAUCCACUUGCCAAACAACACCCUCUCUGGUCAUAUCCCACCCGAACUUGGCCGUCUGUCCGAACUCCGGUACCUAAACCUCAGUUUUAAUUCGUUGAACGGCACCAUCCCGUCCAGCCUUGGUACCCUUGGGAAACUUUCUGCUCUAGACCUAGGCAGUAACGGAUUUUCUGGUACAAUUCCACCUUUCAUGAAGUUUCCUUCGAAGCUCACAUACCUAAGUCUUACCGGAAAUAGCCUUACUGGAGUCGUGCCACCAUCCGUGGCAAACCUCUCAUCCCUUACCUCGCUCUUGCUUGCCGAUAACCAGUUGCAAGGAUUCAUUCCAGAUUUGGGUAAACUUUCAAGCCUGAAAAACCUCGAUCUCUCCACCAACAAUCUGUCAGGGACAGUGCCACCCUCAAUUUACAAUUUGUCUUCGCUGAACUUUCUUGGGAUGUUUGGCAAUAAUCUUGGAGGAACAUUGCCCUUUGACAUGGGUAACACACUUGCUAACAUCAAAUCACUGUUUAUGCAAGAUAAUCAUUUUUGGGGAGACAUCCCUGCCUCACUACAAAAUGCCUCCACCAUGACGUAUAUCCAUCUAGGCAACAACUCUCUGACUGGGGUGGUUCCUUCUUUCAGCUCCAUGGAAAAUUUGGAGUUUGUGAUGUUGUACUCAAAUCAUCUCGAGGCUGGAGACUGGACAUUCUUCUCCUCUUUGGCGAAUUGUAGACAUCUUCUAGAAUUUAACGUAGGUGAAAACAACUUGUGUGGGGAUUUACCAGCAAAUUCCAUAGCAAAUCUGCCCAAAAGCUUGACCGCUCUAACUCUUCGGUCAAACAACAUAUCUGGCACCAUCCCCUUGGAGAUUGGAAAUUUGUCUAAUCUUAACAUGUUGUAUCUUGAUAGAAAUCUUUUCAUGGGGUCUAUACCUCCUACCCUUGGUCAGCUACAUAACUUGGUUGUUCUUAGUCUACCACAAAACAACUUUUCUGGGGAAAUACCACCUUCCAUUGGCAGCUUAAAUCAACUGGAAGAACUUUAUUUGCAAGAAAAUGAUUUGAGUGGAAUCAUACCUGAAAGUUUAGGCAGCUGCCAGAAGUUGUUGGCACUAAACCUUUCUUGUAAUACCCUUGGUGGAAGCAUAAAAGGACAUAUGUUGGCUAGGUUGGAACAGUUAAGUUGGUUACUUGAUUUAUCACACAACCAGCUCACAACGUCCAUACCACUAGAGAUGGGUAGCUUGAUAAACCUUGGUUCCUUGAACAUCUCUCACAACAAUCUCACGGGGAGAAUCCCGUCCACCCUUAGCGCAUGUGUUCGGUUGGAAGCACUUCGUGUAGAAGAGAACAUCCUGCAAGGAGACAUUCCACAAUCACUAGCAAACUUGAAAGGCCUCAAAGUGUUGGAUUGCUCCAGUAAUAAUCUAUCUGGCACAAUCCCGGAGUUCCUUGGGACCUUCACCUCUCUGAUGUAUUUGAAUAUGUCCUUCAAUGACUUCCAAGGGCCACUUCCCACUGCUGGAGUGUUUGCUAAUAGAAGUGGUAGUUUUGUCCAAGGAAACCCACACCUGUGUGCAAACAUUGCAGUACAAGAUUUGCCUAGGUGCUUUGCUUCAACAUCCACACAAAAACACAAGUUCGUCAUUCCUAUCCUGAUAGCUCUGUCAACUCUCGUUGCACUUGCUUUGCUCUUGGGGGUGUUCAAUUUUUGGUUGAGAAGGAGAUACAAAUCCAGUGAGAGAAUUGGCCAUUCAUACAUGGAGAUGAAAAGGAUAACAUAUGGUGACAUAAUCAAAGCAACGGAUAGUCUUUCUCUAGCCAACGUAGUUGGCUCCGGGCAAUUUGGGACUGUCUACAAAGGUUGGUUCGACGCGGAAGAUGGUACGGUUGCUGUUAAAGUCUUCAAGCUCAAUCAGCACGGUGCAUUGCAUAGCUUCAUUGCUGAGUGCAAAGCAUUGCAACACAUCCGUCACCGGAAUCUCGUGAAGGUUAUAACUGCAUGCUCAACUUAUGACCCAGUGGGAAAUGAGUUCAGGGCUCUAGUCUUUGAGUAUAUGGCCAGCGGUAGCCUUGAAGACAGACUUCAUAAUCACAAGUGUGGUGAUAUGAGUUUAGGCGCAAUGAUAUGCAUAUCAGUUGACAUUGCUUGUGCUCUUGAAUACCUCCAUAACCAAUGCAUCCCACCAGUUGUUCACUGUGAUAUGAAACCAGGCAACAUACUUUUCAACAACGACGAUACGGCAUGUGUCUGUGACUUUGGUCUAGCAAGGCUAAUUCAUGGAUGUUCAUCUGGAGAGCAGAGCGGCACAACAAGCAUAGUUGGACCAAGGGGAUCUAUUGGGUACAUAGCUCCUGAGUAUGGCAUGGGCAGUGAAAUCUCGACCGAGGGUGAUGUCUACAGCUAUGGCAUUGUUCUUUUGGAAAUGCUAACACAUAAACGACCUACUAAUGAAGAGUUUAGUGAUGGCUUGACGCUCCGCAAGUAUGUAGAUGCAUCGCUGUCACGAACCCAAGACAUUCUUCACCCUAGUCUUAUUUCAGAGAUGGGAGAUCAGUGUGUCGGUCAUAUCCCAAACUUGCAAGAACACAACACAUUUGCAUUGAAGGAUAUAUGUGCUCUCCGGCUCCUUAGACUUGGCUUAUUAUGCUCUGCGGAAUCGCCGAAGGAUCGACCAACGAUGCAUGAUGUCUACGGUGAAGUAACUGAAGUAAAAGAGGCAUUUUUCUCUAUGGACAACUGA
rnacentral:rRNA from 1 species